rnacentral:lncRNA from 1 species
CCUAAGGUGCCAUAAAUACUUUUGGCUAAUCUUAUCUUUAGGUCUCUUAGACCCUAUGGCAUUCACUAUUUGCUCGUUAAUGUUUACAUUUCCAUCUGUAUGCAAAUAGUAAAGACCGUCGAUCAAGAAAGCACGUGCAAUAAUUUUAUUUUCAAAAUAAAUGAAACACGUGUCUUUAUUGAAAUGACAAUUAUAGUUAUCAUGUACCAGCACAG